GGGUAUAUAGCUCAGUGGUAGAGUGUGUGCUUAGCAUGCAUGAGGUCCUGGGUUCAAUCCCCAGUAACUCCU
rnacentral:tRNA from 1 species